UGACCAUCUACACCGACCUCCUGUCAAGUGGGGUGUUUUACCAAGAAUAAAGGUGUGGACGCCGGCUGAAUUGUCCAUGGCUAUGAAAGAAGACAAAUGGAGAACGUCUGACGAUUACGGAAAGUUCAAGGAACUGUUGUUUCAGUCUGCCCCAAUUGCAUUUGGAGAGGAGGAUCAUCCAUGUGCAGUUCGAGACUUCUCGAGGACAUUAGUGUAGAAGGUGGCUGCUAAGGUAGUGAAGCUGUUAAAACCUCAAUUGGAGAGGAUGGUCACUGAUGUAGUGAGGAAUGAGGCCCAACCUCCGAAAUAUGAGUCUAGACAGAGCAAGUCAAGGCGGUAUGUUCGAUUUAUGUUUGAUGAUGAUGAGGAGGUUGGACCUAGUCAAGUGUUUUAAAUCAUUGACCCUUAGAGUUCCAAAUCUCAGGAGGACCAUCCUGAGAAGUCUAAAUCUGUUGAGAAGUUUAAAUCUGUGGAGGAGGAGAAUUUUACUGACAAUGAGAAAUCUGAGGAAAGAUCUAAGAAGAAUUCUCCUAAGAAGGAGAAAUCUAAGGAUGAGGAGAGAUUUGAGAAGAAUUCUCCUGAGAAGGAGAAAUCUCCUAAGAAGAUCUACUCAUGAGGAGAGAUCUCCUCAUAAGGAGAGAUCUUCUGAGGAGGAGAAUGACAAAACUAAGGGGAAUGAGAAUCUGAUGGUGUGGAGGUGGACAAAGGGAAUGGGAAGGAGAUAUCUUGUGAGCCUGUUCGUGAAGAAACUCCAUCUCGAGCGGAUGUACCGAGUGAGGGGUUGUUUGUUCAUCCACCUCAUGAAAAGCGUAGAAUGAGGGAGAAGAGACCUUUGAAGCCAACAAAUGUCAGUUUGAUUUUUGGACUCCCUAACACUACCAAACAAUCAAUUUUGGAGAAAAGGUUUCUAGAUUAUGUUCGUUCGUUUUGGUUAGUACGAAGUGAAAGGUACUGUCCAGUGCUUGUUCAAUGCAAUGGUGUUGAUGCCACCCUUAAAGAUUGCUACCAUGUUUUGAUGGUGAAGAAGUGCAUGAGUACUGGCUAUGUCCGUAUGGCUUCUAAGUUGUACACAAGACAAUGGGAAGUUGAGCAAUUCCCUAGCAAGAGCAAUUCCCUAGCAAUUCUCAUGUCUCCUAACUUCUCGGUAAAUGCUUUAUAUGCCUUUUAUUGGUUCCUAUGACAUAUUAAAUGCAGCUAAUGUGUUUGUGCUUUUACAAUAGAAUCGAGCUUUGUCAUCUACUAACAAAUACCAGGUAGCCCUUCGGCACUGGAAUGCAAUUGCAAAUAUUCCACUUGGUGAAUUGCUAGUUGUAAGGCCUUAAAUAAAUCAACUCCUUCCCCUUGUAAUUAUUAUUAUUUGUCAUGCUUCCAUUUACUGAUGUCGUCAUGUGUCUAUGUGAAGAUAUUUGUACCUAUGUUAAAAAACGAUCAUUAAUGGUGCGCGAUGUUUGAUUUGCAAGCAAAGACAAGGCGGUACAUUGAUAAUAUGUACUUAGAGUCGUGGGUCGCUCACUAGUCUGAUUGUGUCAGUUUGACCAAUGUUGUAGAUGUGCUGAUCAAUUCCCUGCGGCAUUCGCAAUGAAAGCUUGGACAAAUCGCAGCGUGGCCUCAAAAGGUUGUACAAAUCUUGGACCGCACAGAUCAAUCAUGUGGGGUAUUCAUGCUUGCGUGCAUAAAAGCCUGUGCAUAUCAGAUACAGACUAAGUGGAGCAUUAUGAGUACAUCUUUCUUCUCAUUCUUGUUAAAUUUUUGUUAAUGUAGCAUGGUUAAUAUGCAGCAUGCUUAACUUAUAUUCGCCAUGCUUUUGUUGUAUAGAAGGAUAAAUUGAAGCGUGCACAAAUAUAACAGAAACCCAGUAGCAUAUAAGCAUUACAGAUUGUAUAAUGCAAUACAUUACAAAAGGUAAAUUAUUAAUACAUAGAACAUACUAUGCAAAAUGCAAGAUAGAUCACUGAAAUAUGCCACAUAAGUCACUUCAUAUUUCAAUUUCUUCCCAUUCAUCCGAUGACCAAUCGUCAUUUGGGAUAUUUUGUCUUGCCGAAUCAUACUCGUCAUCCCUUAAUAGUUCAUAUGAAGGCACAUGUUGAACUUCUCCAAAUAUCCGUGUGGGUAAUUAUCGAAAUCAAAUGCAAUGAAAUCCCUAACUUCAGUAGUGUAGUAAUUGUUGUUUGCUCAGCCAUGGUUCACUUGAAUUUCUUGUAUUUUGACCCGUUUAAGUUGUUUUGAUACGGAUCAUUCUUGUAUGUCCUUAGCCACACAUAGGUUACACUCCAUUCUAUUUUGAAGACUUGUCCACCGCGUUCAUCAACUUCGUCCUUAAACCUAUUUAUGUCCCUCCCCAAAAUAACUAACCCCCAAAUUUUUUGGAUUUCUCAUUCUCCAUUAACAUGACCAUUAUUGCUUCUCUCCACCUAUCUAUUGGCAUGAACAACUUCAUGAACUUAAUAAAAUACCGGUGAUACGUAGGAUAAUUCUUGCACUUGAUGAGUCUCCAACGUAACACCCUAGAAAUUCUUCCCUUUAAAAUACCUGUUUUGCCCUUUUCAAAAUACGAAAUAGGAAAUACUACGAUAUUACCGCCACCGUGAUAACGGUUAAGGCAAUUAUCAAAGACACAGAGCGGAAGACUCGUUUCAAAAACCAUUAAAAAAUAAAACCAACUUCAAAAGUCAAACCAAAAAAAAGUAAAUCAAAUCAAAGUCAAACAAAGUCAACCUACAACUUGGAACCAUUAUAGGCCCUUUCAAACCCAAACCAAAUAAUUUUAAACGUUGCGUUAGUCUCACAAGCAAAUAAAAAAUAAUUAAAGCUAAUUAAACAUAUCAUAUUCUUAUAGAAACUAUGCAAGAUUCUCUCUUCACUCAUGCCCCAACAUGUAUAUGCUUCAUCACCUGAAAAGCUUCUCUUUAAGUACUUUGUCCCCACUA